CCCUUAGAUGUUCUGGGCCGCACGCGCGCUACACUGACGAUGGCAACGAGUUUUUCCUUCGCCGAAAGGUGUGGGUAAUCUUUUGAAACAUCGUCGUGCUGGGGAUAGAUCAUUGCAAUUUUUGAUCUUGAACGAGGAAUUCCUAGUAAGCGCGAGUCAUCAGCUCGCGUUGAUUACGUCCCUGCCCUUUGUACACACCGCCCGUCGCUACUACCGAUUGAAUGGUUUAGUGAGGACUCCUGAUUGGCGCCGCCGCCCAGGCAACGGAGCAGCGGACUGCCGAAAAGUUGUUCAAACUUGAUCAUUUAGAGGAAGUAAAAGUCGUAACA
rnacentral:rRNA from 1 species